rnacentral:rRNA from 1 species
AUGAACGCUGGCGGCGUGCCUAAUACCUGCAAGUCGAGCGAACAGACGAGGAGCUUGCUCCUCUGACGUUAGCGGCGGACGGGUGAGUAACACGUGGAUAACCUACCUAUAAGACUGGGAUAACUUCGGGAAACCGGAGCUAAUACCGGAUAACAUGUUGAACCGCAUGGUUCAACAGUGAAAGACGGUCUUGCUGUCACUUAUAGAUGGAUCCGCGCCGCAUUAGCUAGUUGGUAAGGUAACGGCUUACCAAGGCAACGAUGCGUAGCCGACCUGAGAGGGUGAUCGGCCACACUGGAACUGAGACACGGUCCAGACUCCUACGGGAGGCAGCAGUAGGGAAUCUUCCGCAAUGGGCGAAAUCCUGACGGAGCAACGCCGCGUGAGUGAAGAAGGUCUUCGGAUCGUAAAACUCUGUUAUUAGGGAAGAACAAAUGUGUAAGUAACUAUGCACGUCUUGACGGUACCUAAUCAGAAAGCCACGGCUAACUACGUG